GGUCUCCACCGGCGUCCCUACUCCUAAUGUGGACCCCGUGCCUGUCCCAGGUGUCGUUCUCCUGAGAAACGUCGAGCUGACAAGCCCCUUUUAUACAAGUCUGAAAACUAAACACAUCGCCAAAGGUGGAGGAUGAGAGCACAUGACUGCCUCAUUGGAUGAAUCUUAUUUUUACCUUUGGCUUCUAUCAACCUGACCAUGACCUGUCAAGGAACCAACGGGCCAGUUGACUGCAAAUGAGUUUGCCUUUCAUGCCAUGUUGUUCUGUCCGCUCACAACGCAAAUGAUUCCAGGUCAUUCCAAUUUAUUUAAUUAAUUUCAGAGAUGAAAUUAUCCUGCCCAGUAACUCGAUUGCUAAUGGCAUUUAUUGUAAUGGUUCUGUUCAGGUUUGCUGGUUGGAAAAUAAACUCCUUCAUUUC
rnacentral:lncRNA from 1 species